rnacentral:lncRNA from 1 species
CACAAACAACUAAACAAACAAAUAGUUGACAGAAUGUCAAGGAGUCACAUGUUAUAAAGCAAGGGAGAGACAGAGUAAUGGAGAUGCUAUUUUAGAUGGGGUGAACAGAAAGGUCUUCCUGACAGGCAGCUGCUAUGAUUAUAGCUGUUUAAGGGAAGAGGAAAUCAAAGUUCAGAGACUGUAUCUUACUGACACCUUGUGCACAUUAACAAGGAGUUGGCUGGGGACGCAAUACCAGGCACCGGACUGCAGCAUCCACAUUCCCACCACCUGUCUGCGUAUAUUUAUCUCUGUAAGAGCCCUGUGAUAAAGGUCACACAAAGUGUGAAGAUGCAUAGUAUGACCUCUUCCCUCAGAAUGCUGUCAGCCUUUUGAAGGGUAAGUUGUAUAUCACUAGUCACAUGUCUUCUC